rnacentral:rRNA from 1 species
CCGUACCGCAAACCGACACUGGUGCGCGAGAUGAGUAUUCUAAGGCGCUUGAGAGAACUCAGGAGAAGGAACUCGGCAAAUCGACACCGUAACUUCGAAGAAGGUGUGCCUUUAGUAGGUGAACCAUUUACUUGGGGAGCCCAAUGAGGCCGCAAAAAAUCGGUGGCUGCAACUGUUUAUUAAAAACACAGCACUCUGCUAAGACGAAAGUCGACGUAUAGGGUGUGACGCCUGCCCGGUGCUGGAAGAUUAAAUGAUGGGGUGCAAGCUCUUGAUUGAAGUCCCAGUAAACGGCGGCCGUAACUAUAACGGUCCUAAGGUAGCGAAAUUCCUUGUCGGGUAAGUUCCGACCUGCACGAAUGGCGUAAUGAUGGCCACACUGUCUCCUCCUGAGACUCAGCGAAGUUGAAAUGUUUGUGAUGAUGCAAUCUCCCCGCGGAAAGACGGAAAGACCCCAUGAACCUUUACUGUAGCUUUGUAUUGGACUUUGAACAGAUCUGUGUAGGAUAGGUGGGAGGCUUUGAAGUGUGGUCGCUAGAUCGCAUGGAGCCAACGUUGAAAUACCACCCUGGUGUGUUUGAGGUUCUAACCUAGGUCCAUUAUCUGGAUCGGGGACAGUGCAUGGUAGGCAGUUUGACUGGGGCGGUCUCCUCCCAAAGUGUAACGGAGGAGUUCGAAGGUACGCUAGGUACGGUCGGACAUCGUGCUAAUAGUGCAAUGGCAUAAGCGUGCUUAACUGCGAGACUGACAAGUCGAGCAGAUGCGAAAGCAGGACAUGAUCCGGUGGUUCUGUAUGGAAGGGCCAUCGCUCAACGGAUAAAAGGUACUCUGGGGAUAACAGGCUGAUACCGCCCAAGAGUUCAUAUCGACGGCGGUGUUUGGCACCUCGAUGUCGGCUCAUCUCAUCCUGGGGCUGUAGCCGGUCCCAAGGGUAUGGCUGUUCGCCAUUUAAAGAGGUACGUGAGCUGGGUUUAAAACGUCGUGAGACAGUUUGGUCCCUAUCUUCCGUGGGCGCUGCAGAUUUGAGGAAGCCUGCUCCUAGUACGAGAGGACCGGAGUGGACGAACCUCUGGUGUAUCGGUUGUCACGCCAGUGGCAUUGCCGAGUAGCUAAGUUCGGAAGAGAUAACCGCUGAAAGCAUCUAAGCGGGAAACUCGUUUCAAGAUUAGAUCUGCCGGGGCCUUGAGCCCCCUAAAGAGUCGUUCAAGACCAGGACGUUGAUAGGUCAGGUGUGGAAGCUA